rnacentral:rRNA from 1 species
CGCCGGGGGGCUCACGCCCCCGGGCCCGCGCCCGCCGAAGACACCCUCGAACUCUGUCUGAAGAUUGAAGUCUGAGUGAAAAUAUAAAUUAUUUAAAACUUUCAACAACGGAUCUCUUGGUUCCGGCAUCGAUGAAGAACGCAGCGAAAUGCGAUACGUAAUGUGAAUUGCAAAUUCAGUGAAUCAUCGAGUCUUUGAACGCACAUUGCGCCCCCUGGUAUUCCGGGGGGCAUGCCUGUCCGAGCGUCAUUGCUGCCCUCAAGCCCGGCUUGUGUGUUGGGCCCCGUCCUCCGAUUCCGGGGGACGGGCCCGAAAGGCAGCGGCGGCACCGCGUCCGGUCCUCGAGCGUAUGGGGCUUUGUCACCCGCUCUGUAGGCCCGGCCGGCGCUUGCCGAUCAACCCAAAUUUUUAUCCAGGUUGACCUCGGAUCAGG